rnacentral:rRNA from 1 species
UACGUAGGGUGCAAGCGUUAUCCGGAAUUAUUGGGCGUAAAGAGCUCGUAGGCGGUUUGUCGCGUCUGCUGUGAAAACUGGAGGCUCAACCUUGGGCUUGCAGUGGGUACGGGCAGACUAGAGUGCGGUAGGGGUGACUGGAAUUCCUGGUGUAGCGGUGGAAUGCGCAGAUAUCAGGAGGAACACCGAUGGCGAAGGCAGGUCACUGGGCCGCAACUGACGCUGGAGGAG